rnacentral:tRNA from 1 species
GGGGAUGUGGCUUAGCGGUAGAGUGCUUGCCUAGCAUGCAUGAGGCCCUGGGUUUGAUUCCUCAGCACCA